UAAAAAGUGUAAGUCUAUAAUAAUUAGUAAAACGGAAAAGGAAAAAAUAGUUCAUUCAUGCCCUUCGUUAUACUUUAGGGCCAAUUAUACCCUUACCGUUAUACUUUGGGCCAAAUAUACCCUUGAGUAUAACGGCGUGCCACGUGUCAAAAUCUCAGUGACCAACUUAUUUUCCCUCUUUUAUUUUUCAUCCGGAUGCCUACUCCUUCAGAUCCGACCCAAUUAAUUUAUUACUCAACCCGUAAAAUAACCCAAAUAAGCCAAACCUAACCCGUAUAACAUAUCUAUAGCCUGCCUCUCUCUCUCUCUCUCUCUCUAAAAAAAAAACGCAGAUCAUCUUCAACCUCUUCAAAUGGAAGCUGCAAUUGUGAUUUAGUGGGUUUUAUUGUUACCUUUUUGCUUGGUGAUUUAGUGGUUUUUCUGCAUACCCUUUUGCUUAUUUUGUGGUUUGGAUUUUGAGUUUUCAUAUUUUUUGUUUUGGGACGCAGAUCGUCUUCAGAUGGGUGAAGUAGUUUCCACUAUUUCAAUGAAGUCUUACAAUGUCCGAAAUUAGUUGUAAUUCAACGAAGAAGUGUCACUGUGGUGAAAUUGCUCGUUGUUUCAAUUCGAAAACACCUUCAAAUCCUGGUAGGAUAUUCUAUAAGUCUCCUAAACUUAAGGCUGAAAAUUGUGGUUUUUGGGAGUGGCAAGAUAAUUUUCUAGACAAUGCUUUAUUGGAAAUAAGUGAUUUGAAGGGUAAAUUGGAAGUGGCUACGACGAAGAUGGACAAUUUAAGAGAGUCGUUGAAUGCGGUUAAGCUCGAAAGAGACAACUUGAAGAAAAAGGUGCAUAACUUGGAGGCUAUAAAUAACUCUCAAGUGAGCAAAUCAAGGGAAUUGGAAGAGAAGAUGUUGAAGUUGAAGAUGUUUAUGAUUUCAUUGUCCGUAUUAGUUGAAUUUUUUUGUCGCUAAUUUGGGAUGAAUUAUGCUUGGUCUAGUAAUAGAAGUGAAAGGCUUGUUUUGGUAGAUGACGAUGUGUAGGAGUAGAAGUGUUUGUUUAGGAGUUGAAGUCUUGCUAUGUAAGCUAGUUUGUUGUUGUUAUUGUAUGUGUAAACUUGCUAAUUUAAUGUUGCUAAUAAGAAAUCCAUUUUUUCUCUC